rnacentral:rRNA from 1 species
UACGUAGGGGGCAAGCGUUGUCCGGAUUUAUUGGGCGUAAAGAGCGUGUAGGCGGCUUUGCAAGUCCGUUGUGAAAACUCGAGGCUCAACCUCGAGACGCCGGUGGAAACUGCAAAGCUAGAGUCCGGAAGAGGAGAGUGGAAUUCCUGGUGUAGCGGUGAAAUGCGUAGAUAUCUGGAGGAACACCGGUGGCGAAGGCGGCAUCCUGGACCAACACUGACACUGAGGAGCGAAAGCCAGGGGAGCAAACGGG